rnacentral:rRNA from 1 species
CAGUCGACGAGCGAGAGAGAGCUUACUUUCUCAAGCGAGUGGCGAACGGGUGCGUAACGCGUGAGGAACCUGCCUCAAAGAGGGGGACAACAGUUGGAAACGACUGCUAAUACCGCAUAAGCCCACGACCCGGCAUCGGGUAGAGGGAAAAGGAGCAAUCCGCUUUGAGAUGGCCUCGCGUCCGAUUAGCUAGUUGGUGAGGUAACGGCCCACCAAGGCGACGAUCGGUAGCCGGACUGAGAGGUUGAACGGCCACAUUGGGACUGAGACACGGCCCAGACUCCUACGGGAGGCAGCAGUGGGGAAUAUUGCACAAUGGGGGAAACCCUGAUGCAGCGACGCCGCGUGGAGGAAGAAGGUCUUCGGAUUGUAAACUCCUGUUGUUGAGGAAGAUAAUGACGGUACUCAACAAGGAAGUGACGGCUAACUACGUGCCAGCAGCCGCGGUAAAACGUAGGUCACAAGCGUUGUCCGGAAUUACUGGGUGUAAAGGGAGCGCAGGCGGGAAGACAAGUUGGAAGUGAAAUCCAUGGGCUCAACCCAUGAACUGCUUUCAAAACUGUUUUUCUUGAGUAGUGCAGAGGUAGGCGGAAUUCCCGGUGUAGCGGUGGAAUGCGUAGAUAUCGGGAGGAACACCAGUGGCGAAGGCGGCCUACUGGGCACCAACUGACGCUGAGGCUCGAAAGUGUGGGUAGCAAACAGGAUUAGAUACCCUGGUAGUCCACACUGUAAACGAUGAUUACUAGGUGUUGGAGGAUUGACCCCUUCAGUGCCGCAGUUAACACAA